rnacentral:rRNA from 1 species
UACGUAGGGUGCGAGCGUUGUCCGGAAUUAUUGGGCGUAAAGAGCUCGUAGGCGGUUUGUCGCGUCUGCUGUGAAAGACCGGGGCUCAACUCCGGUUCUGCAGUGGGUACGGGCAGACUAGAGUGCAGUAGGGAGACUGGAAUUCCUGGUGUAGCGGUGAAAUGCGCAGAUAUCAGGAGGAACACCAAUGGCGAAAGCAGGUAACUGGACUAUUACUGACACUCAGCUGCGAAAGCGUAGGGAGCAAACAGG